rnacentral:lncRNA from 1 species
UCAAAAGAUGGGAAUGUGAACAGGACAACGAGCAGAACUCAGGACCUCUCCUUUGAGUAGAAGAACAAAACAGCUCAAUGUAUGUAUGUGUUGUGUGUGUCUGUCCGUGUGAGUUUCGGCGAGUGGAUGGUGAAGGCUCUGUGAGUGUGUGUUUUGGUAUUGCGACUGAAGUAAGGUCGUUGGUUUGAUGAGAGGAGGAGUCAAAGUGUGGUAUGGUUCGUCGGUUGUUGAAGAGAGCAGAAGGCAAUAGAGGUUUCGAAGCUGAAGGAGAAGGGUAGGGGCUAGGGACUUUUUCGGUUCUCUAUGGCUUAAGCUUCUUCACCUAGACUCUAGGGUUUUGUCCAUUUUUCUUUCAUGAAAAUGAGGGGUCUCUGGCUGUUGGAAGUUGAAGAAGAAAGAUCAGCAGUGAGGUUGUUUCUUUGGAGUUGCCGGCGGGCUUGGGG